rnacentral:rRNA from 1 species
AUUGAACGCUGGCGGCAGGCCUAACACAUGCAAGUCGAGCGAGCGGCGGACGGGUGAGUAAUGUCUGGGAAACUGCCUGAUGGAGGGGGAUAACUACUGGAAACGGUAGCUAAUACCGCAUACCAUCAGAUGUGCCCAGAUGGGGUUAGGUAGGUGGUGGGGUAAAGGCCUACGAAGGCGCAGAUCUGUCGCGGGGCUGAGAGGGUGAGCCGCCACACUGGGACUGAGACACGGCCCAGGCUCCUACGGGAGGCAGCAGGGGGGAAUAUUGGACAAUGGGGGGAACCCUGAUCCAGCCCUGCCGCGUGUGUGAAGAAGGCCUUAUGGUUGUAAAGCGCUUUAAGCGAGGAGGCGUUACCCGCAGAAGAAGCACCGGCUAACUCCGUGCCAGCAGCCGCGGUAAUAC